UCCCUGGUGGCUCAGAUGGUAAAGCGUCUGCCUACAAUGCAGAAGACCCGGGUUCGAUCCCUGGCUCAGGAA
rnacentral:tRNA from 1 species